UCCGAUAUGGUGUAGUGGCCAACAUGAUGCCCUCUCAUCCGCUGAGAGGUUAGGCAUAGCCCCGAGUUCGAUUCUCGGUUUCGGGA
rnacentral:tRNA from 1 species